CUAGUAGCAUUGUCUGAUUUAUUAACAUAAUUGAAACGUUUUGCUGAUAAAACUCUUGCCCAUGACUAUUCUAGCAACAAAACUCUACUCAAAAAUAUUUCACUGUGAAAUGGUAUUGCAACUCGAAUGCAGUUUUUAUUGAGUUGACUUCCAUAAAGUAAAUCUCACUCUUAAAUUAGCAGAUAUGACUAGAAAAAAAAAAAAAAGCUCCCUCCUCCCCAUUCCAACCCCAUGAGGAUCAAGAUGAGCUGUGGGCCCUGGGACUCACUGAAGGUGGUGGGAAAGGGUUGCAAGUCAGUCUAGACAACUGGAACCGGCUACUAGGACACUUCCUAACGCACACUACACAGAAACCACACAAGGAGUGGAAUUCGCCAGUCAGCUCAUGGGACGGUACAGGUUGGAUCUGCAUCACAGAGCACUCCCGUCCUCAUUACCACGGGCUAUCUCCAAGGGGUCUUCCAUGAGCUGCAGAAUCAUCCUGUUUCAUUCUUCGUACCCCUGCUGUGACGGGGGGAGCGGUCCUGAGGUUUUCUCAUUCUGUUUUUACAUUGCUGUUUUUGUUCCAAGACGAGGUCUUAUGUGCCCAGAAGCUGGACUUGAACCCCUGAUCCUCCUGCCUCCACCUUUCAGUCCUGGGAUCCCAGGCAUGCGCCACCACACCUGGCGUUGCAUUACUUUUAAAAAAAGAAACACAAAUACAUAGACAUGCUUCUCUUAGUCCCCUACAAGAGAGUAUGAGAAAGAAUAUGGGGUGUGAGGGGGGUGGGGUUGGAGGGGGGUGGAUUGGGGCUCCCUGUAAUCCUCCGGCUUUCCAUACAGUUUGAUUAUCGAGUUUUACUUAUUUAAAUAGAGUGCUCGUGAUUCCUUUCAGAGAUCCUGAAACUCAAGACUAGAACGUGUAGCCAAGCCAAAACAGGAAGACCAGUAUCUCUGAAACUUUGGCUAUGAUUUCAGGUACUUCCGUUAACAAACUUCCUUUGCUGGAACAGUCAAGGAAAGUGAAAGCCAGGGGCCCAGAGACUACCUGGGAUUAGGAGUGUGUGGCUCAGACCUGCAACCCAGGGGAGGCCCAGCCUCAUUCCUUGAGGAAAGGGUUAUUAAAGUUUCCUUCCUGUCUGUUCUAUCAGCUGCUUCAAAACAAAAACAAAUACAAAAACAAAAAUGGUGGGGACUUUUUUUUCUGGCAACAGUAAAUGACAGUAUCAUUCCGGUCGGUGUCUUUAUUACCGUCUCUGUGCCAUGCCAGUAACAGGCUAGCUUUCACAGUGGGUCCCCAAAGACAAACCCAAAGGUCACCCUGAUGACACCCAAGGCACCACUUAUAAACUGUCUUUCUGGUGUUGGCCAGGACAGGUCACAGCACACUGUGCUCCCAUGGGGAUAGGGGCAGGGUCCCCUACCCUGGCUCUAAAAAGGGAGAAAGAGACAGAGAAGUGAAUGAACAUUUCCAGUGGGAUGGGGACUCACUUCCGUUUGUUAAGGGAAAACCAUUGUAACAUGCCUUAGCAAGAUACAAUCUGACCAUCUGCUUCCCAGAAAUGCACUUCUGUGUGAUUGAUUCUUCCCAUAGCUCACCUACUCUUCCUUCCCUGUUGCCCUCUGAGACUGCUGGGCUAGCCUGGUACCUUAUCCCAGGCUGUGGACUGAAUGAAGCUCAACCAGAGCUUAGAAGAGAAACACAGUGAACCAAAGGAACAAAGGAAAAGUAGCCUUUCUGGGGCCUGCUCUUUUGGACCCUUGUCAGGCUCCUGCAAAGCCCCAUGUUUCCCCCCACACAAUCCAGCUCCUGGUUUUCUUUUGUCUAGGGAAACAAUAUCCUCUCACAGGGCUUCUGAUCCUGGAUCAGACACUGACUCCCGGGGUCUCUGCUCCUUUGCCGGUCCUGCAGGUUUUCUCUACUUUUCUAUGACUUUUAGCCAAACACUGGACCUCUCGAUUAUAGAAAUAAUCCCCUCCCUCUGGAAAUCACUUCUGCAGUCUAAAGAAAAGCCACAGCUCUGGAGAUGCCCUAGGCGCUUCUGUUGACCCAGCUUCUUCCUCCUGAAGUCAGCGGAGGAGGCCGGAGGGAAAACCAAGGCAAAGAGCCUCAUGCUACCUGGUUCAUGUUAGAAGUUAGACGUGGCCCUCUUGCUACUCAGGAGCUGUGCCCCAUGAGCCACCAGAGCCAGACGCUGGAUGGAAAACACAAAACACAAAAGUCAUUUUCUAUGAGCUCUCCAGGAAGGACAUGAGACUCUUGUCCAGUCUCGAACUGUCUUCAGAGGUAGAGAGAAGGGCGGAGGGGGGCACUGGGUAGAAAUGGGGAGAAACACAGGAGACAGCUCUCUUGUGUCAGGCAGACCUCCUAGGGCAUUGACUGCUAGGCUCUUCAGGAGACAGAUAGGGCCAGCUCAGAAACAGGGCUGAUUGUUUUGCAAGAAGGAAAAGGCUUUGGGCGCAGCUUGGCAACCUCAGAGGGAGGGGGUGGGGAUCACGAAUUCUCCUCAGGGGUAACUAAAAUGCAUUCUCCCAGAUCACUCUGGACUUAAAGCCCCUAGCCAUAUGGGCAAUAAAUAAUGCCAAUUAGCAAAGGAUCUUUCCCGUCAAGUGGAUUCUUAGCAUGUUUAAAAAGAAAAAAAGAAUGGAUUAUCAGGACUUGGUCUUGCCUUGUGUGACUCCUCUCACCAGCAGGAGCCUGCCUUACUGUGGCCUCCGAGGGCUUUUGCUCUCUGGAAAUGCCUGGUCGGCAGGGAGCCCACACAAAGCUACCAGCGGGCGGACACACAGCAUCAAGACCACAAUCACUGAAACCAGGGACUCAAAUUCUGAGAAACCCUACUCUUCCCAGACUUGUGUACCAGGUUUCAGACCUGAAAGUCUUAUUCUUGACCAUAGGGGUCUGGGGAUGCUGCUGCUGGUGUGGUGUGGUGUGUGUGUGUGUCUGUGUGUGUGUGUGUGUGUGUAUGUCUGUAUGUGUCUCUGUGUGUGUGUCUGUGUCUGUCAGUCUGUGUGUGUGUCUGUAUAUGUCUGUGUGUGUGUGUGUGUGUGUGUGUGUCUGUGUGUGUGUGUCUGUGUGUGUGUCUGUGUGUGUGUCUGUCAGUGUCUCUGUGUGUGUGUGUCUGUGUGUGUGUGUCUGUGUGUGUGUCUGUGUCUCUGUGUGUGUGUGUCUGUGUGUGUGUGUCUGUGUGUGUGUCUGUAUGUGUCUGUGUGUGUGUGUCUGUCUGUCUGUCUGUGUGUAUGUGUGUGUGUGUGUGUGUGUGUGUGUGUUGGAGAAGCAGAGGGGCUCUGCCUUCUUUCCUGGAUGUGGCCCUCACACACUUACAAGUGCUGAGACUGGCUAUAGUGUCCUAUCAGAAGGGAAGUAAACCACAGGAGAGCAUCAAGACUACACACACACACACACACACACACACACACACACACGCAGACACACACACACGCAGACACACACACACACUUCAUCCAAGUUCUACAAGAAGUGGACAAAGAAAAAGAAAAAAAAAUAGCCCUUUGUGGUAAAGGGCAUGCUGGGAAGGCAAGAGCCUGAGCCACGACCCCAGAGCAUGCUGGGAGGAUGGGCCCCAGAGCCGCCUCUCUAGAGCAUGCUGGGAUAUGGACACCAGUACAUCUCUAAGGGCUGCACUUUCC
ensembl:lncRNA